UACGUAGGGGGCAAGCGUUGUCCGGAUUUAUUGGGCGUAAAGCGCUCGCAGGUGGUUCGUUGCGUCGUGCGUGAAAGACCCCGGCUCAACUGGGGGAUGUCGUGCGAUACGGGCGGACUGGAGGCCAGUAGGGGGAUGCGGAAUUCCGGGUGUAGUGGUGGAAUGCGUAGAGAUCCGGAGGAACACCAGCGGCGAAGGCGGCAUCCUGGACUGGUCCUGACGCUGAGGCGCGAAAGCUAGGGGAGCAAACGGGG
rnacentral:rRNA from 1 species